rnacentral:rRNA from 1 species
GACGAACCGUGCGAACGUUGUUCGGAAUCACUGGGCUUAAAGGGCGCGUAGGCGGUCAAUCCAGUCGGGGGUGAAAUCUUGCAGCUUAACUGUAAAAGUGCCUUCGAUACUGAUUGACUCGAGGGAGGUAGGGGCAGGUGGAACUUCCAGUGGAGCGGUGAAAUGUGUUGAUAUUGGAAGGAACGCCGGUGGCGAAAGCGACCUGCUGGAUCUCUUCUGACGCUGAGGCGCGAAAGCCAGGGGAGCAAACGGG